rnacentral:rRNA from 1 species
UUUUCUUGUAUUAAUUGGAAGUCGGGCCUSUCCACUGAUUUUAUUGAAGGGCCGCGGUAUUUUGACCGUGCAAAGGUAGCAUAAUCAUUAGUCUUUUAAUUGAGGGCUGGAAUGAAUGGUUUGACGAAAUAAUAACUGUCUCUAAUAUAAUUAAAUUGAAUUUUACUUUUAAGUUAAAAGGCUUAAAUUGAGAUAAGGGACGAGAAGACCCYAUAGAUCUUUAUAAUAUAUUUUAUAAUAUAAAUUGUAGAUUGUAUAAUUUAUUUAAUAAUUUAUAUUAUUUUAUUGGGGUGAUAUGAGAAUAUUAUAACUUYUAAAUUUUGAACUUUAAUGGGAGAAAAUAAAAAAUCCUUUAAUAUUGAAUAAAGAUUAAGAUACCUUAGGGAUAACAGCGUAAUCUUGUUGGAGAGUUCUUAUUGAUAACAGGGAUUGCGACCUCGAUGUUGGAUUAAGAAUAUAUGUUGGUGUAGAUGUUAACAUUAUUAGUCUGUUC